AAAUCAAGUGCUUGCUUUGUGCAUUAAAAUUGGAAUGAUACAGAAAAACUUAGCAUGGCCCCUGCUGAAGGAAGACACACACUCCAUGGGGUGCCCGCAUUUCCCUUUCUUU